CCAUAUAUUCCCUAUAAAACAUCUUCUUACAACAAACAUUUUUUUGAUGCCAUUUACUCGGGAAAAAACAAAAAAACAAAAACAAAAAACCUUCUUGGUAAUAAUUUUUGUGUUUUUUGGUAAUGAGUGUUGUCUACGAAUCGAAACCAUUCUUGCUGGUAUAUUGCUUAAAGAUUCUGACACUAUAAUUUUUUCCGACGAGAUUUUAUGUUGGGAAUUUUUAGCCCCAACGGCACUACAUGACUUUACUUUGGGAUGAGACAGGGAGGAGGGAUGAAAGUGGAUUUGAAAGUUUUGACGACUGGCAUUUGAGAUGGAGGACGC
rnacentral:lncRNA from 1 species